rnacentral:rRNA from 1 species
UACAGAGGGUGCAAGCGUUAAUCGGAAUUACUGGGCGUAAAGCGCACGUAGGCGGCUUUGUAAGUUAGAGGUGAAAGCCCGGGGCUCAACUCGGAAUUGCCUUAAAACUGCAUCGCUAGAAUUGUGGAGAGGUAAGUGGAAUUCCGAGUGUAGAGGUGAAAUGCGUAGAUAUCGGGAGGAACACCAGAGGCGAAGGCGGCGACCUGGAAGGUGACGUGACACUGAGCAGCGAAAGCGUGGGGAGCAAACAGG